UCAACUCAUUUAACCUUCUAACCCAUCAAAUUAAAUGAGUUCAUGGGUUGACUCAACUCAUUUGCUCAAAUGAGUUGAGUCAACCCAUGAACUCAUUUAACUCUAAACUCAUUGGGUAAUGAGU
rnacentral:pre_miRNA from 2 species